rnacentral:rRNA from 1 species
UACGAGGGGUGCAAGCGUUAUUCGGAAUCAUUAGGGCGUAAAGGGUGCGUAGACGGCUUACUAAGUCAACUGUUUAAUUCUCCGGCCUAACUGGAGGUCAGCGGUAGAAACUGGUAUGCUUGAGGUUGGAAGAGAGGAGUGGAAUUCUCGGAGUAGCGGUAAAAUGCGUAGAUCUCGAGAGGAACACCGAUGGCGAAGGCAGCUCCUUGGUCCAAAUCUGACGUUGAGGCACGAAAGCGUGGGGAGCAAACAGG